rnacentral:rRNA from 1 species
UGGGGAAUAUUGCACAAUGGGGGAAACCCUGAUGCAGCGACGCCGCGUGAACGAAGAAGGUAUUCGUAUCGUAAAGUUCUGUCCUAUGGGAAGAUAAUGACAGUACCAUAGAAGAAAGCUCCGGCUAAAUACGUGCCAGCAGCCGCGGUAAUACGUAUGGAGCGAGCGUUGUCCGGAAUUAUUGGGCGUAAAGGGUACGCAGGCGGUUUAAUAAGUCGAAUGUUAAAGAUCGGGGCUCAACCCCGUAAAGCAUUGGAAACUGAUAAACUUGAGUAGUGGAGAGGAAAGUGGAAUUCCUAGUAUAGUGGUGAAAUACGUAGAUAUUAGGAGGAAUACCAGUAGCGAAGGCGACUUUCUGGACACAAACUGACGCUGAGGUACGAAAGCGUGGGGAGCAAACAGG